rnacentral:rRNA from 1 species
GACGAACGCUGGCGGCGUGCUUAACACAUGCAAGUCGAACGCUGAAGCUCAGCUUUUGUUGGGUGGAUGAGUGGCGAACGGGUGAGUAACACGUGAGUAACCUGCCCCCUUCUUUGGGAUAACGCCCGGAAACGGGUGCUAAUACUGGAUAUUCACUGGUCUUCGCAUGGGGGUUGGUGGAAAGGGUUUUUCUGGUGGGGGAUGGGCUCGCGGCCUAUCAGCUUGUUGGUGGGGUGAUGGCCUACCAAGGCUUUGACGGGUAGCCGGCCUGAGAGGGUGACCGGUCACAUUGGGACUGAGAUACGGCCAAGACUCCUACGGGAGGCAGCAGUGGGGAAUAUUGCACAAUGGGCGCAAGCCUGAUGCAGCGACGCCGCGUGAGGGAUGGAGGCCUUCGGGUUGUGAACCUCUUUCGCUCAUGGUCAAGCCGCAACAAUGGUUGUGGUGAGGGUAGUGGGUAAAGAAGCGCCGGCUAACUACGUG